rnacentral:rRNA from 1 species
UACAGAGGGUGCGAGCGUUAAUCGGAAUUACUGGGCGUAAAGCGCGCGUAGGCGGUUUUGUAAGUCGGGUGUGAAAUCCCCAAGCUUAACUUGGGAACUGCAUUCGAGACUGCAUAGCUAGAGUAUGGGAGAGGGAAGUGGAAUUUCCGGUGUAGCGGUGAAAUGCGUAGAUAUCGGAAGGAACAUCAGUGGCGAAGGCGACUUCCUGGACCAAUACUGACGCUCAGGUGCGAAAGCGUGGGGAGCAAACAGG